CGAGCGGACAGAUGGGAGCUUGCUCCCUGAUGUUAGCGGCGGACGGGUGAGUAACACGUGGGUAACCUGCCUGUAAGACUGGGAUAACUCCGGGAAACCGGGGCUAAUACCGGAUGGUUGUUUGAACCGCAUGGUUCAAACAUAAAAGGUGGCUUCGGCUACCACUUACAGAUGGACCCGCGGCGCAUUAGCUAGUUGGUGAGGUAACGGCUCACCAAGGCAACGAUGCGUAGCCGACCUGAGAGGGUGAUCGGCCACACUGGGACUGAGACACGGCCCAGACUCCUACGGGAGGCAGCAGUAGGGAAUCUUCCGCAAUGGACGAAAGUCUGACGGAGCAACGCCGCGUGAGUGAUGAAGGUUUUCGGAUCGUAAAGCUCUGUUGUUAGGGAAGAACAAGUACCGUUCGAAUAGGGCGGUACCUUGACGGUACCUAACCAGAAAGCCACGGCUAACUACGUGCCAGCAGCCGCGGUAAUACGUAGGUGGCAAGCGUUGUCCGGAAUUAUUGGGCGUAAAGGGCGCGCAGGCGGUUUCUUAAGUCUGAUGUGAAAGCCCCCGGCUCAACCGGGGAGGGUCAUUGGAAACUGGGGAACUUGAGUGCAGAAAAGGAGAGUGGAAUUCCACGUGUAGCGGUGAAAUGCGUAGAGAUGUGGGAGGAACACCAGUGGCGAAAGCGACUCUCUGG
rnacentral:rRNA from 1 species